ACAAUAUCUAUCAUAUAAGAAAAGUCUACCAUUUGGGACUUUCUUAAGCUAUCCACAUCAGCAACUCUUCUAUGGUUGAUCCACAUCAGCAUCCUCAAAAUUAACUUCUUCUUCCACUAUGAUUCGGCAGUUACAUCCUCCUGUUUUUCAAUUUCCACUAUCAUCAUAACUACCCUUAAACCCCAUCCUCUUUCACGGUUACGAAAUUUCCAUCUCCCCUUCCAAUCUUCUUCUACAGCGGUUUCACAAAACCCUUUCUCUUACAAAUAGUUUCUAAUUUCUCUGUAACAUGGAUUCAUUAAACUUUCUCUGUCUGUUGCAGUUACAGAUACUUUAAUUCUCUACCCAUCCACGUUCUAAACUGCUACACUUUGGUUGAUCAAUAUACGCCCAUCCACGUUCCAAUCUUCUUCUUCUACAGCGGUUUCAGACAACCAUUUAUCUUUCAUUGGGCUUCUGAUUUAUUCGUCUUUUCUCUCUUUCAACUUUGAUUUUGAUUUAGUUUUCAAAGUUUCAGGUUUCAUGGUGUUGGCUCACGCGGAAAAGGAAAGAUCCAUCGCCGAUACAGUUUCUGAUGAUGCGUCGGUGUUGGUUGUGGUGGACGGAGAUUAAUACUCUAAAACAGGUUCGAUGAUGAAGCACAAGUUUGCUUGGCCAUAAAAAAGAAAGGAUGGCAAUGAGAGAGAUUGAUCGGUUCUUUUUAGUAUUUUGAUUUUGUUUAUGCUUUGAAUUUCAGGUGGCUGUUCGUUUUGAUUUGGGUUUCUAAUGUUGUCUCAGGAGGGAUAAAGUACGGGAAUGGUAUAACAUGGUAUAUCUUGCCAUCAUUUCAUUAUUUGGAUGGGCUUAUAGCUUGCCACUUACAUUCAGCAUUCAGGAUUUUGCGUAUCUUUAUGAUCCAAACAAUGAGAUUGCUGGAGCGUGAAGCUGAAUUUUCUAUAUUUGUUACAUUUUGAUUUCAACAAAAGGAUUGUGAUUUAAUUUGCGAUCAUUUUUUGCGGAGGAUGGGAUUGGAGGAAGAAGUGAGGGGGGAACUUGCAAUCGAGAGAGAAUUGGGGAUUUCAAUACAGAGGCUGCUGAAUAUCCAGGGACUAAUGUCGUAGUGGUCAAAUUCAAUGCUGAUGAACCCUGUUGCUGUUGGCCAUAUUGGUGCGUCGCAACCGCAAUUGAUUACUUGGAACUGAUAUUUAUUGAUAAAAAUGUAAGUAACUUUAGAACCAAAAUGUCAUUUAUUUUAUCUUAAUUAUGAAUGAAUGGCAAAUUUCUGUCUUAAACUUCAUCUGACAAGGGUAUAGUGAUUGAAUCAUCUGAUUUGUAAAUACACAAAUUUUUUAUACGGAGAUCCUUUUACUUCUUAGAAUGCUAACAGACCUCUACCUGUUUGGUUGAAAGAUCAUGAACCAGUAAGUUCUUUUAUUUCAAAGAUUACACAUUCUUUGUGAUCACAUAAUUUGUUUGCUUGCUUAGAAUUAGAAGCUUUAAAGUGCAAAGGUUCUGUUAACAGGGAAUGAAGCUUUUGAAGAUGCAAAACCUGUAAUUGAAGCUUUAAAACGCAAAGGUGUUUUGUCUAUAGGAUCUCCCUCUUUUUGUUGGGGUGAAAUGGACUAUUGUUGAAAAGCUGAAUGAAGAAGUAGUCAAGGAUGGUCAACAUCUAAGGCAUUUAAUUGGCAUAUGUAAAGAGUUGUAGAAAAUAUAGCACUUUGUGGGCACUUAUUACCACUAUUCAUGAAAAUAAAUUGUAUCCGCAUCUCAUAGGCAAGUGGGGGGAACUACUUUAAAUGAUAAUGAGAAACCUUCAUUUGGUGUACAGAAGAGAAACAUGUCCACCAUGAAAAGGGGUUAUAUGAGGUUGAAUGGAGAGGUUUUACAAAGUUCACAGCUUCUGUCAAGGAGAAGCUAUUCAUCAGCUUCAGAUUUUGUCAUGAAGAUCAGAGAAAUAGUUGUUACAGACAACACAACGUUGGAACCCGGGAAAUCUACAGGCGGUGGACUCUUCAUUCCCGCAAAAGUGUGGAGGGUCUCAAGUGCAGUGGGUGGAAGAAACAGGAAAGUUGCUGAGGCUUAUGCAAAGAAUGGAGGGAAGAGGUUUUGGUGAGUUGAAACAUGGCUAGGGUGUAAGCAAAAACGAUGCUGAAGUUUGGGAUGAGACCAUAUGGAGAGCUUGAGGAGAAACCUACAAGAUGGGAGCUUGAAGUUGGGCAUUAGGUCUAGCGUAGCUUUUUCUUUUGGUAUAGACAUAUAUAAUAGGACUUUGCAAUGGAUGUGGGAGUAAUCAUGUGGAGUUGCAGGUAUAAUCAUAAAUUUUAUUAUGUCAAACGAAAAAUUAUAAUGUUUACUUUUGAAAAUGUAUUAUUUAGAAAAGUGCAAAAAGAAGUAGGUCAUAAUUUACUAUCAAAUACUCAAAUUUUAUUGUGUUCACAAUUUCUCCUUCACUUAGAGAAACUUGCAUCGUACCAGAGGUAAUUAUAUAUAACUAAUUGUUAUGAAGUAGAUGAAUGAACGUAAAAAGCUAUCAAAUAUUCAACCAUUUAUAGUAUUCCUGAAAUAGAGAUGUACAAAAAUAAAAUAAACCUAAUAAUGAUCCAGUUCUAAACUCAUGAGUGAUCAACCAAGCAUAGCAUGUGCUCACUCAACAAAAACCUCACUCAAAAAUUACAAAAAUGAUAUAAGAAAUAAUAAUCAUCAUCAUUAAAAUUCAUCACUAAAAUUCAUGCAUAAUAUUUUAAAAUUUUCAAAUUUAAUUACAGAUCGAAGCAUUAAGACUAAUAU